AUGAAAACAGCAGAAACAUAUGCCAUUGAGUUUGUCAGUGAAACCGGCAAGCCCCUACAACACACCUCAAAGUUUAUCAACCAAUGCGGAGUCGUUGUUAGAGACAACGUCCCGAUCACCGUCCAGGAAUGGAAGGAGCCAAAGAAGGCAUGUAUUGGUUUCAGUUUUGUCGACAAGAGAACGAAAAAGGAUUGCUGGAGAAAGCUUAUGGAACAUUUCAUUCUACCUCCGGAAUACAACAAAGUCGAUGAAUUCGGUAACGAUGUUCCGGGUGGACGUCAGAGGAGGAGGCUAGUUAAAGAGUUCGCUCUUCAGAAGAUGGGCGAAGCAUUCCGGAACUUCAAGAAAAAUUUAACCCGUGACUAUGUCAACAAGGGCAAGACUCCGGAUUUCAAUGGACAACAUGAGAAACUGAAAGAUGAUUGGCCAGAAUUUGUGAGGCAAAAGCAAUCGGAGCAUUUCAAGGAAAUAUCGAAAAAAAAUAAGGAUAAUGCGAGUAAGAAAAAGUUCCAUCAUAUUAUGCGGCCAGGAGGAUACCGCCUUUCGGAGCCUAGGUGGCAGAAGAUGGAGGAGGACCUGAGGGUGCGAGGAAUCCCUCUAGGUACAGAGGGAUGGGACCCAAGGGCCAAAAGCUGGUGGUACGGGCAUGGGGGAUCGCUAGACCCGGAGACAGGGGUGUGUGUUCACCGGCAGAGACAGUUUGCUCCCACCCAAGCCCUUAUUGACGCAAUGACCCAAGCUCAAGAGGGCUUGAUCAAGUUAAACAGAGAAAAAGACGCACUGACAAUAGCCCUCGGGAAUGAUGAACACGGAGGACGUGUACGAGGCAAAGGCAAAGUUCCGUGGAAAGUAGGGUUUUCCCAGGACAAUGACCCGUACUGUUACAGAAGCCGUAAGAGAAAGACGGACCGGGAUGCAGAUCUUAUGACGAAGUUUGCAUCGAAACUCCAUGAGUUGAAGCAGACCGUGCAUGAACUAGUAAAAGAAAAAUCGGCUGCAGGGCCGCAUGAAGAUCAUGAAGCGGAUCGCGGAAGCCAGCAGCGGAGAAGCAGCGUGGCUUCCACGGAUGCCCCGCCUGGUGCUAGUGCACCGAUGAUCGAGAUUCGUGCACCGGAGCCUCACUACCCCGUGGAUGAUGUAAAGGAGAUGAAAGAAUGUGAUCUGCAUUAUCCCGUGGGGAACGUUUCCACGAAGGUAGCUAGCGGCAGUGCUUUACCCUGUACACCUGGAGCACUCCACCACAACAACCCCAUUGCAUAUGGCUAUGCUCGUGUCACGGUGGAAGACAUAGUCCAAGGCUUUGAGGACCUGGAGAUUGACAAACCUACACCCGAAGGGGAGAGAAGACUUGGAGAUGUCAAGCGCCAGUUCAUUCUAUGGAAAAAGAAGUACAUAGUGUUUCCAGGCGAGGUGCCAAGGCUAGCAAGUCCACCCCCCUCCGAUGGUGGUGGUGGUGGUGGUGGCGGUGGUGGCGGUGGUGGUGGUCGUGGUGGUUCACCUACACCUCCUUCAUGCCAUUCGACGCCGUCCCCCCAUCCACAACCUCCGGCGGGUACGACGCCCCCCAAUCCUCCUCCGGCGGGUACGACGCCCCCCAAUCCACCUCCGGCGAAGAAGCAGAAGCAGGCGGACACCAAGGAAACCUGCUCCUGGACUAUUAACCCGGACCCUUAUGUACCUAAGACCACAAGGGUACCGGAGCCAUCACUGAAGCCUCUCCUCCCAAGGCCUGGGGAACUUAGUGAAGCUGAAACCAAAUUGGCCGCGUCUGCUGAUUAUGAGAAAUGGAAGGCGGAUAUGAAGGCGAUAAAAGAGUCUGAGCCCAAGCAAUUAUUCACUGAGAAGCAAAAGAAGUGGGCUAAUGAUUUUUUGACGACACCGUCCCAAGCCGAGCUGAAUAUGCCUGACGACUAUGGACAUGAACUUCGUAGGCAAGCAAAAAUAUUGAAGGAGGAGAAAGAAGAAAGUAAAAAAAGCGGGAAACAAGUUGACCAGCUCGGGAUGCAGAAGAAACAAUCGAUCCCCCCGCUCAUAGUGAAAGCCAGUCCGGAAGAGGACCCCGAGAUCAUAGCAGCUGCGGCAGCACUUGGAUUGACUGUAGCGAGUGCCAUGAAACAAGCGUCCGAGAUGGGUUUGACUCUUCGUGCCUUCUUAGGCCUUGAGGAUGCGCCAGUAUGUGAGAUAGCAUUACAAUAUGUGCGGAAUGGGCCUCUUGUCGAGCCUGCGCGGGAGAAGAGUCUACCGCCACAAAUGCGAAUCUGCUACGUUGGUACAAGCAAUUCAUAA
rnacentral:rRNA from 1 species